rnacentral:rRNA from 1 species
UACGUAGGGUGCAAGCGUUGUCCGGAAUUAUUGGGCGUAAAGAGCUCGGUAGGCGGUUUGUCGCGUCGGCUGUGGAAAACCCGGGGACCUCAACCCCGGGCCUGCAGUCGGAUACGGGCAAACGUAGAGUGUGGUAGGGGAGACGUGGAAUUCCUGGUGUAGCGGUGAAAUGCGCAGAUAUCAGGAGGAACACCGGUGGCGAAGGCGGGUCUCUGGGCCAUAACUGACGCUGAGGAGCGAAAGCGUGGGGAGCGAACAGG